GCGGCUCUUGGGCACCUAAAUAGGACAGGUAUGACUUGGUCCCUGGCUCUGUUUAGUGCAUCCCACCCCAUGCACAGGCUUCCGCCUGCUGGGAGGGGCUGUGUCCUUCCAGCAGCCUGCUAACACCCUGCUCCACAGCCAUGAGGAGAUGCAGCAUCACCAGGGAAAUGACUUAGUGUGUGCAUCAGGCUUUCAAAUCUGGGGCAUUCACGUGUGUAAUGUGAAUUCUGGCUUAGGGGAAUGCAGCCUCUGGUUUCAGCCCUGAGAAGUGGAGGUUUCUCUGGAGGAUGGAGGGAGCUCCCCCCCCCCUGCUGGGUGAGCUGAGCUGGGAGUAACCUGCUCUAGUGGAAGGUGUCCGUGCUCAUGGCCGGGGGCUGGAACUGGCAGCUGCACAUCUGUUUCUGAUCAAGCAAUCACUUGAGUGUGAAGCAGAAAGCAGUGAGUGACUUCACUGCUUCCAGCUAGAGCAAGAAAUGGGAAGAGCUGGACCCUGGAAAUAGAAGGAUGUAGACUACGUAUUUUGCCAGUGUCACUGCUAGGGAUGCUUGGGAACUGGAAUGCCGAGGUAUGGAAUGUUUCUGUUCAUUUUCCAGUGUUCACCUGUGCGCAAACCCUCCAAGCCUCCCCUCCAUAAUAUGAUGGGGGUGGGGGGGUAAUCCCCUUUCCCCCACCAGCAUUCCUCAGAGGGCUCUCAUUUAGGAGCAGAUAUGCAGGAACCUGCAGCAGAACUGAGCAUGGGGUUCUCCUGUCCUGCACAGCUGGAGUUAGCAUCACCCAGUAUCUGCCCCAGGGGCACGGAGCCAUUCAGCCGGAAUCUCGGAUCCCCACCUCACAGGACAAGCCUGGUGCAAUCGCUGCUGUCAUUAACCAACAGCCGCAUAUCCA